rnacentral:lncRNA from 1 species
AUGAUUACAACAACACUUCUACCUCUUAGAAGAAUACUUGUUCUGUCAGACCUCCAUCCUUUAAUGGAGAUGUUGCUUAAUUCUCAUGGUGGAAGAGUAAGUUGUACAAUCACAACAUAGGAGUUAAUGAUGAAUUGUGGGACAUCAUUGAAGAUGAUGUUGGAUUUAUUGUUAUUCUGAAGGUACGGUAGUGGAAAGAAAGAGUCUCAUUGAGGCUUAGAGGAAGAUCUACAUAAAACAUCAUAGAGUGCGUUGUGUUUUGGUUGAAGCUUUGCCUCACUCAAAGUAUACCAAAAUAGUUGAUAAAUUCACUGUUAAAGUCAGAUUUGAGUUACUGUGUUCUAUUUAUUAAGGAAACCAGUAAGUUAAGGAGGCUAAAUAUAACCUCUUGGUGCAACAGUAUGAACGACGGAUGAUGAAGACAUUGAAACAACGUUUUCAAGGUUUCAGACUCUGGUGUCUGGCCUUCAGGUUUUGAACAAGAAUUAUACUACUUCUGAUCAUGUUGUUGUUUUCCUUCAAUUCCUAAUUUAGUCAAUUUUCU